rnacentral:rRNA from 1 species
AUACGGAAGGUCCGGGCGUUAUCCGGAUUUAUCGGGUUUAAAGGGAGCGCAGGCGGAGAUGCAAGCGUGACGUCAAAUUUCGGGGCUCAACCCCGUCUCGCGUCGCGAACUGCGUCCCUUGGUUGCGGGAAGGGGAGGCGGAACUCGUGGUGUAGCGGUGAAAUGCAUAGAUAUCACGAAGAACUCCGAUCGCGAAGGCAGCCUUCCGGCCCGUCAACGACGCUCAUGCUCGAAGGUGCGGGUAUCAAACAGGAUUAGAUACCCUGGUAGUCCGCACAGUAAACGAUGGACACCCGCGGUUUGGCCUGUAUGGCUGAGCCGCCAAGCGAAAGCGUUAAGUGUCCCACCUGGGGAGUACGCCGGCAACGGUGAAACUUAAAGGAAUUGACGGGG